UACGUAGGGGGCAAGCGUUGUCCGGAUUUACUGGGCGUAAAGAGCGCGUAGGCGGAAGCUUAAGUGUGGCCUGAAAGCCCCCGGCUCAACCGGGGAAGGUGGCUGCAAACUGGGCUUCUUGAGGGGGAUAGGGGAAAGUGGAAUUCCGGGUGUAGCGGUGAAAUGUGUAGAGAUCCGGAGGAACACCAGUGGCGAAGGCGGCUUUCUGGGUCCGCCCUGACGCUGAGGCGCGAAAGCGUGGGGAGCGAACGGG
rnacentral:rRNA from 1 species